UACGAAGGGAGCUAGCGUUGUUCGGAAUUACUGGGCGUAAAGGGCGCGUAGGCGGUCUUGUAAGUCAGAUGUGAAAGCCCUGGGCUCAACCUGGGAGGUGCAUUUGAUACUGCAAGACUUGAGAUCGAGAGAGGAGAGUGGAAUUGCGAGUGUAGAGGUGAAAUUCGUAGAUAUUCGCAAGAACACCAGUGGCGAAGGCGACUCUCUGGCUCGAUACUGACGCUAAGGCGCGAAAGCGUGGGGAGCAAACAGG
rnacentral:rRNA from 1 species